rnacentral:rRNA from 1 species
AGCGGCAGGCUUAAUACAUGCAAGUCGAGGGGCAGCGCGGGUAGCAAUACCUGGCGGCGACCGGCAAACGGGUGCGGAACACGUACGCAACCUUCCCAAAACUGGUGAAUAGCCCUCCGAAAGGAGGAUUAAUACACCGUACCAUAACGAAGAGGCAUCUCUUUGUUAUUAUAGCCGCAAGGCGGUUUUGGAUGGGCGUGCGCCUGAUUAGGUACUUGGCGGGGUAACGGCCCACCAAGCCUGCGAUCAGUAACUGGUGUGAGAGCACGACCAGUCACACGGGCACUGAGACACGGGCCCGACUCCUACGGGAGGCAGCAGUAAGGAAUAUUGGUCAAUGGACGCAAGUCUGAACCAGCCAUGCCGCGUGAAGGAUGACGGCCCUCUGGGUUGUAAACUUCUUUUAUCUGGGACGAAAAAAGGGCUUUCUAGCUCACUUGACGGUACCAGAGGAAUA